CGCGGCCUGGCAGGGCCCCCAGUGCCAGGAGGACUGGGAGGCUGAGCUGGAGGACCUGGAGGACCCCCCGCCGUUCAUUCUCAACGUCAGGACGAAUGACCUGCUCCUCCCGUGCGACAGCUCUGCCCCGGCACCACCCGUGAGCCGCGGCCGAGACGGGGGAGCCGCAGGACACCCUGCGGCCAGUGCAGAGCGGCGGGCACAGGAGGGACCGCGGACGGUGGCGGCAGGGCCAGGGCGGUGCCCGUUUUGCCCCCAGGACUGGGGGGACCGCGGUGCCAGGGGGGGCAGUGCCCCCUCGGCUGCUGCUGCGGGGGGUGAUUGUACCCACAGGUUUUAAAC